GGGUCCUUGGUAUAGUGGUAUCAUUCUGAGCUCCAACCUCAGCGACGUGGGUUCGAUUCCUACAGGGCCUG
rnacentral:tRNA from 1 species